rnacentral:misc_RNA from 1 species
GUGAAUCAUCGAAUUUUUGAACGCAAAUUGCGCUUCCUGGUAUCCCGGGAAGUAUGCCUGUUUGAGGGUCAGUAUUAACAAAAAAUCGGUGUGUUUGCAAAUUGUGACGUUUCCUUGGUGGGUGCUUAUCUUAACUUUUUUGGUUAAGUGUCUUAAAAUUGACCUUUUUUGCGUAUUUUUAGAUUGACAUAAAUUUUUUUGGAUUCGUCUAUGCUUGAUGCCAAAAUCUUAUUAGUUACGAU